CCUGCAUUAGCGCGUGACUGUGCUCUGUCACCAUGUAGCAGGUGGAGGCCGGGAGCUGCGUUUGCGUUGUUUCCUGGAGAGAUUCACAAGAAUUACUGUGGAGCCAUUAGGCAUGGAUCCCUGCCUAAGGUCUGGAAAUGAAUUCCAAAGACCACAGGACUUGCUGAUGUGUGUGUGCACAUCCAGACCCACAACAGGGGCCCUUGCCUGUACAGAGAGGCCCAAAGACAGAGGCCUCACCCCCGCCGGCUCCACUGAAAUUCUCACCACGUUUCCAACUUGGAUUAAACUGGCAUGAAAGUUCA